CAUGAUUCACGCAUCAUGAAUGCCAUGAGAUAAUAGGGUGUUGCAUUAGACUCACAAAUAUGUUGCAUUGCAUAUUAUGUUUGAUGAUGUGGAUGAAUGUUGAAUGAUCCAUUAGUCCCCCUAUGCUAUGAUGAUGAUGAUACGGUACGGAAGACCAGUGAGGCCCAUUCUACGCCCCUGGCACUAUGUAAGAGAAAGACUAGUGAGGCCCAUUCUACGCCCCUGGCAUAGUUGGACCAUGUUAUGUUAUGUUAUGUAAGAGAAAGACCAGUGAGGCCCAUUCUACGCCCCUGGCACAGUUGGACCAGGUAGGGGACUAUUGGUGACAAAUUCAUCCUUGAUGUGAUUAGCUGUGUUGUGAUGCAUUCCAUGUUAUCAUAUGUUUUAAAUU
rnacentral:lncRNA from 1 species